ACGCUUCUUCCUUCCGGUAACAUCAUUGGUGGACGUGCGGGGUACUCACUUGAGCAAGACGGAGCUCCGCAGCGGACGUAAACUGGCCGCCAUGUCAUCCGAAAAAGAGAGUUCAACCGCGGCCCCGUCGUCGCCACCGACGGCCAUCCUGGCCCAGCCUCACGACCCUGGCAUGCUUUCUGGGAUUGACAACGUUGACGUCGAUGACUGGUUGCAGAAUUAUGAACGGGUCAGCGCACGCAACAGGUGGGAUAACACGCUUAUGAUGGCUAAUAUAAUAUUCUACCUCAAGAAAACAGCACGGGUUUGGUUCGAAACACACGAAGAAGAGAUUACGAGUUGGGACCAGUGUAAACAGAAGCUGAGAGAUUCGUUCGGCAUACCCGUCGGCCGCCAACGUGCAGCGAAGAAGGACCUUGGGACCCGUGUACAGACGUCCACUGAAUCUUACGUGGCGUAUAUCCAGGACGUUCUUGCUCUUUGCCGCAUAGUAGAUAACAAUAUUUCAGAGGCAGACAAGGUCAGCCACGUCCUAAAAGGCAUCGCGGACGACACGUUUAACCUGCUUGUAUAUAAGAACAUCACAACGGUCAAUGAGAUCAUUAACGAAUGUCGCCGCUUUGAAGACGCGAAGAGUCGCCGCAUAGUUCGACAGUUUACGCGUCUACCUAAUACCGCAGCUUCGUCGACGUGCGAAGACAUUUGUCCACCGCGUGAAUCCACCUCCUGCGAGAACGUCGUCCGUAUCUUGCGGCGAGAUAUCGAAGCAGCGUCUCCUUCCACGCCAGUCACGCCGUGCUUGCCAAUGUAGGUCCUCCAUCCAUCUUCUCUGCCAGCCGUCCUGACUUUGCUUCGUCUGCUCCCUCUGCCCCUGUUCACCGGAGCCAAUACGGUCCAUAUCCGAGCUGUCGCAACCCGGCCGAAUGGCGCACCCAUGAAGAUAGACCCAUCUGCUUUUACUGUGGACGUGUGGGCCACAUCUCUCGCCACUGUCGAAGUUCCUGGCCAGCCCACUCUCGACCAAGCUUUCCCGCCUACCGCCACUCCCCACUGAAUCCUCGCCCGCCAUCACUCUCCACCGAGGUUGAAUACGCACCUGACAACGCUCGAGCCACUGCGACCAGCCGAUCGCCAUCACCACACAGCCGCCGCUCCCCUUCGCCCCAGCUGCGUCACUGUCCAUCCCCAGCUUACCGUCGCCGCUCUCCGACGGGAAACUAACUGGGGCAGCUCCUAGAGGUGACGCUGCUCUAGAACACCGGCCUGAAAUUCCUCUCCUGACCCUGCCUACUAAUCGGAACCUUCUGGACGUGAACGUGGAUGGUUUGCCCGUUACAGCACUCAUCGACACUGGAGCCCAAAUUUCCAUCAUGAGUGCGGAGCUUCGAACGCGCUUGAAGAAAGUAUUUACUCCUGCUCCGACACGACUGCUCCAGAUCGCCGAUGGUGGAACUCCGGUUGUGCUUGGAAUGUGUACUGCUCGUGUCAGGGUCACCGAUCGCCACACGUCCGUUUUGUUUAGUGUGCUUAAACGUUUCCCUCACAAUAUGAUCCUCGGACUCGACUUUUUGUCCACCCAUUCUGCUCUGAUUGACUGUUCCGCUGGUGUUGUACAACUUGACCUACCCCUACCUUAUUACUGUUCCCAGUGAUCUUCCUGCUCAAGCUCCAGCUCAGCUUUGUUCCGCGGAUUUUAUACGCCUGCCAUCUCUUGCAGCAACCUUCAUCCCUGUUUUAGCCAGCCCACCUGUACCUGACGGAGACAAUGUCCUUACUCCCGCGACGUCAGUGCUGCUUUCUCACAAUGUCUCCUUCCCACACACCAUCGUUUCUGUUGUGGACAAUCAGACAUGUCUUCCCAUCCUAAAUUUCGGACAGUGCCCGCAAGUAGUUCCUCGAGGUAUGUCUCUUGCCACGCUGGGACAACUGGCCACGUGGUUCGACGACCGACGCGCCCUGCUGUACACAUGACCGGCAUCGAGCGCCACCUAUACAACCGUCUAUAUAUGGUCUUUCUUCGCUGCCGAGAGCAAUUGGGCACGGCAGUACCACAAGAAUGCAGACGUCUAACCCACUGUCCUUCUUCAUGCAGUUUGCGGUCAGCAGACUCCUUAUCGGUGGAGAUGCGCACACCGGGCUGCUGCCGGAGGGGAUCAGCGGAACGCACAUCAACAACACCGGUUUCCACGUGGUAGAUUGCUCCUACCAUCCUUGCUAGGACAACUGGCCACGUGGUUCGUCGACACACGCGCCCUGCUGGACACAUGACCGGCAUCGAGCGCCACCUAUACAACCGUCUUUAUAUGGUCUUUCUUCGCUGCCGAGAGCAAUUGGGCACGGCAGUACCACAACAAUGCAGACGUCUAACCCGCUGUCCUUCUUCAUGCAGUUUGCGGUCAGCAUACUCCUUGUCGGUGGGGAUGCGCACACCGGGCUGCUGCCGGAGGGGAUCAGCGGAACGCAUAUCAACGACACCGGUUGCCACGUGGUAGAUUGCUCCUACCAUCCGUGCUAGGACAACUGGCCACGUGGUUCGUCGAUACACGCGCCCUGCUGGACACAUGACCGGCAUCGAGCGCCACCUAUACAACCGUCUUUAUAUGGUCUUUCUUCGCUGCCGAGAGCAAUUGGGCACGGCAGUACCACAACAAUGCAGACGUCUAACCCGCUGUCCUUCUUCAUGCAGUUUGCGGUCAGCAUACUCCUUGUCGGUGGGGAUGCGCACACCGGGCUGCUGCCGGAGGGGAUCAGCGGAACGCAUAUCAACAACACCGGUUGCCACGUGGUAGAUUGCUCCUACCAUCCGUGCUAGGACAACUGGCCACGUGGUUCGUCGACCGACGCGCCCUGCUGGACACAUGACCGGCAUAGAGCGCCACCUAUACAACCGUCUAUAUAUGGUCUUUCUUCGCUGCCGAGAGCAAUUGGGCACGGCAGUACCACAAGAAUGCAGACGUCUAACCUGCUGUCCUUCAUGCAGUUUGCGGUCAGCAUACUCCUUAUUGGUGGUGAUGCGCACACCGGGCUGCUGCCGGAGGGGAUCAGCGGAACGCAUAUCAACAACACCGGUUUCCACGUGGCAGAUUGCUCCUACCAUCCAUGCUGGAACAACUGGCCAGGUGGUUCGACGACCGUCGCGCCCUGCUGGACACAUGACCGGCAUAGAGCGCCACCUAUACAACCGUCUAUAUAUGGUCUUUCUUCGCUGCCGAGAGCAAUUGGGCACGGCAGUACCACAAGAAUGCAGACGUCUAACCCACUGUCCUUCUUCAUGCAGUUUGCGGUCAGCAGACUCCUUAUCGGUGGAGAUGCGCACACCGGGCUGCUGCCGGAGGGGAUCAGCGGAACGCACAUCAACAACACCGGUUUCCACGUGGUAGAUUGCUCCUACCAUCCGUGCUAGGACAACUGGCCACGUGGUUCGUCGACACACGCGCCCUGCUGGACACAUGACCGGCAUCGAGCGCCACCUAUACAACCGUCUUUAUAUGGUCUUUCUUCGCUGCCGAGAGCAAUUGGGCACGGCAGUACCACAACAAUGCAGACGUCUAACCCGCUGUCCUUCUUCAUGCAGUUUGCGGUCAGCAUACUCCUUGUCGGUGGGGAUGCGCACACCGGGCUGCUGCCGGAGGGGAUCAGCGGAACGCAUAUCAACAACACCGGUUGCCACGUGGCAGAUUGCUCCUACCAUCCGUGCUGGAACAACUGGCCAGGUGGUUCAACGACCGUCGCGCCCUGCUGGACACAUGACCGGCAUAGAGCGCCAUCUAUACAACCGUCUAUAUAUGGUCUUUCUUCGCCAGCGGGAGCCAUUGGGCACGGCAGUACCACAAGAAUGCAGACGUCUGACCCGCUGUCCUUCUUCAUGCAGGUGCACCUUCUUCAACUGGCUUUGCCCUUGUCUACCGCAUCAUCUGCCACUCGGGAAGCAGUCAGCAUGCCAGCAACUAAUCGCUCCGUGAAAUGCCCGCCAUCGCAAAAGUUGGGAUUCAUUCCUGCCUGCUGCUGGCAACCAGGAGUAUCAAGACGACAUGCCACCGCUGUCUGCACGGGAUACGCAGCUUAUAAGCCAUCAUUUGGCGCCGCCCCGCUGGGGCACGACACCAAUUUAGGCAUGGAGCGUUCACCAAUGCUUCUGUUCCAGCCGAGAGGAUUCUAACCUGUGUUCUGCACCUCAUCCGCUUCGUUUCACCGAGGACCAUUUGCUUCGACGUUAUGCAAAUCUGCACGGACGGCGACAGACACACGAGCGUAGCAAGCCUUUUCCACGGAGGACGGUUCGCUG